UCGCCUGUUUUUAACAAAAACAUGUCCUUUUGAUUAUAAUUUAAGGUCUGGUCUGCCCAAUGAUUGAUAUUUAAUGGCCGCGAUAUUUUGAUCGUGCGAAGGUAGCAUAAUCAUUAGCUUUUUAAUUGUAAGCUGGUAUGAAGGAUUGGACAAGAUACUAUCUGUCUCUAUUUUAAUAUUUGAAUUUUAUUUUUGAGUUAGAAAGCUUAAAUUUAAUUGUAAGACGAGAAGACCCUAUAGAGUUUAAUAUUUUACAUCUUUGAAUUAAUUAUGGGAUUAAAUUUUCAGAGUUUAUAAGUAUUUAGUUGGGGUGACGGAAAAAUUUAAUAAACUUUUUCUUUUUAGUAUAUUAAUUUAUAGAUUAUUGACUUAAAUGAUUAGUUAUAAGAAUAAAUUACCUUAGGGAUAACAGCGUAAUUCUUUUUAAGAGUUCAUAUCGAAAGAAGAGAUUGCGACCUCGAUGUUGGAUUAAAGUUAAAAAUUGGUGUAGAAGCUGAAUAUUUUAGUCUGUUCGACUAUUAAAACUUUACGUGAUCUGAGUUCAGACCGGA
rnacentral:rRNA from 1 species